GUAUUGGUGGUUCAGUGCUAGAGUUCUUACUUUCCAGGUGGGAGGCCCAAGUUUAAUUCCUGGCCAGUGCA
rnacentral:tRNA from 1 species